AUUGAACGCUGGCGGCAUGCCUUACACAUGCAAGUCGAACGGCAGCACGGGAGCAAUCCUGGUGGCGAGUGGCGAACGGGUGAGUAAUAUAUCGGAACGUGCCCAGUAGUGGGGGAUAACUGCUCGAAAGAGCAGCUAAUACGCAUACGACCUGAGGGUGAAAGCGGGGGAUCGCAAGACCUCGCGCUAUUGGAGCGGCCGAUAUCAGAUUAGCUAGUUGGUGGGGUAAAAGCUCACCAAGGCGACGAUCUGUAGCUGGUCUGAGAGGACGACCAGCCACACUGGGACUGAGACACGGCCCAGACUCCUACGGGAGGCAGCAGUGGGGAAUUUUGGACAAUGGGCGCAAGCCUGAUCCAGCCAUGCCGCGUGCGGGAAGAAGGCCUUCGGGUUGUAAACCGCUUUUGUCAGGGAAGGAACGGCUCCUACUAAUACUGGGGGCUAAUGACGGUACCUGAAGAAUAAGCACCGGCUAGCUACGUGCCAGCCGCCGCAGUAA
rnacentral:rRNA from 1 species